CACAGAUCGACUGCGGCCGCAGCAGUCAGAUUAGAAUCGAUGGUUACUGCUUUAUCUCCUCUGAUUGAUGAAAUCUGGCCUCUGGAUAUGGCAAAAUCAUCUAUAAGAGGGUGUUGAAGAACGAUUGUUGGCUGUUCAGAGGAUUUCGGAAUGUCUCAGAUGGAUAAAGAUGUUGAUAAACGAGUCAAGUAGCUCCAUUCUGAACAGUAUUCUGCUGCUGGUAACAUUUUUGGAGAGCCACAAAUCCCACCUUUGAUGACAGAAAAUGAGCUAGUCAAACUGAUAAACGUACCCGUCUGUGAAUUUGGUCUGUCAAACUCAUAAACCGGAUUGUCAUCGGAAGCUUCCAGGUGGUCGAUGGUUCAUAGUGAUGGCGGCGAUGAUGGUAGCUGGUGGUGAGACUGUUGUUGAUGGUGGUGAUGGAGCUGGCUUUGACUGAUGGCGGCAAUGAUGGUAGAGGUAUAGUUAUGGUGGUUGCAGGGGUUUAAGAGAUGGAGACGGGGAUGUUGACUUUGAUUGAUAUUAUUAAUUAAUAGUAGGGGUAUUUUGGUCAUUUCACAUCCACUUAACACCAAAAACUAACCCUCAUUCGCGCUAGGGACUAUCCGGAACGAAAUUGCAGAAGUUGGAGACUAUAGCUGUAAUUUUAGAAAGUUAGGGACUAAAGAUGAAAAAUGGCCAAACCACCGGGACUAUCCGGGCAUUUUUCGCUUAAAUUUAAGAGAUUCGUGGAUUUAUAAUUUCCUAUAUAUUUCUUUGGGGCUUGAUUUGGGGUUUUUAAUAUUUCAUGUGAAUUGCCUAUCUUACCAAACGUAUUCCUUAUGAUUUUUAAGAA